CCCUUAGAUGUUCUGGGCCGCACGCGCGCUACACUGAUUCAUGCAACGAGUUUUGUCCUUGGCCGAAAGGUCUGGGUAAUCUCCAAAUUUCGUCGUGAUGGGGAUAGAUUAUUGCAAUUAUUAAUCUUCAACGAGGAAUGCCUAGUAAGCGCAAGUCAUCAGCUUGCGUUGAUUACGUCCCUGCCCUUUGUACACACCGCCCGUCGCUCCUACCGAUUGAAUGGUCCGGUGAAGCGUUCGGACCGUGGCCUUUGGACGGUUCGCCGUCUGUUGGCUGCGGGAAGUUCGUUAAACCUUAUCAUUUAGAGGAAGGAGAAGUCGUAACA
rnacentral:rRNA from 1 species